ACCGAAAUAGUUCAGCUGGGAGAGCGUUAGACUAUAGAUCGAAAAGUCCCUGGUGCGAUCUCGGGUUCCGGCA
rnacentral:tRNA from 1 species